rnacentral:lncRNA from 1 species
AGACCCUGUUCUACUUCAGUAGCCAGCUAGCUCUGCAGACCCUGUUCUACUUCAGUAGCCAGCUAGCUCUGCAGACCCUGUUCUACUUCAGUAGCCAGCUAGCUCUGCAGACCCUGUUCUACUUCAGUAGCCAGCUAGCUCUGCAGACCCUGUUCUACUUCAGUAGCCAGCUAGCUCUGCAGACCCUGUUCUACUUCAGUAGCCAGCUAGCUCUGCAGACCCUGUUCUACUGCUACUUCAGAAGUGAAAUACAAUGUAUCAAGUGUAUGAGUCUGUCCUCAUUGCACGUCUGUUAUUUGAUGUCGCACCUCAAAUGAUGAGCUGGUGGACUGAGACCAGAUGGGGGGUGUAAUAGGUGGUGACAUGACAGUGUGUUAUCAGAGGACUGAGACCAGAUGGGGGGUGUAAUAGGUGGUGACAUGACAGUGUGUUAUCAGAGGACUGAGACCAGAUGGGGGGUGUAAUAGGUGGUAACAUGACAGUGUGUUAUCAGAGGACUGAGACCAGAUGGGGGGGUGUAAUAGGUGGUGACAUGACAGUGUGUUAUCAGAGGACUGAGACCAGAUGGGGGGGUGUAAUAGGUGGUGACAUGACAGUGUGUUAUCAGAGGACUGAGACCAGAUGGGGGGGUGUAAUAGGUGGUGACAUGACAGUGUGUUAUCAGAGGACUGAGACCAGAUGGGGGGUGUAAUAGGUGGUGACAUGAGGGUGGGUAUAAUUUGUGUGUUAUAAGUUUUUCAUUCAGAAUGAGAUACCGGGUAGAGAGUGAACAAUGUAAUAACGUUUUUCAACCACCACGUUUAUUCUGAAAAAUGUCUCUCUUCGUUCUGGUAGCCUCCACCAUUCCUCGUUCGUUGGUUUAGUUAUUAUUUCCGGGGUUCCUGCAUUCGCCAGGUGAACUCUGUUGCGCCUCAAUUAGGGAAUCGCUAUGGUUGAAAUGUAACUAAUCACUGCCAGCCCCAGUAUUUUAUUAGCUAGGUGGCUUGGACACAAUUGUUACCGAUGAUACUGUAUACACCAGCC